AUACGGAGGGUGCAAGCGUUACUCGGAAUCACUGGGCGUAAAGGACGCGUAGGCGGGUUGGCAAGUCAGAUGUGAAAUCCUACAGCUUAACUGUAGAACUGCAUUUGAAACUGCUAACCUAGAGUAUGGGAGGGGGAGAUGGAAUUAGUGGUGUAGGGGUAAAAUCCGUAGAUAUCUCUAGGAAUACCGAAAGCGAAGGCGAUCUCCUGGAACAUAACUGACGCUAAGGCGUGAAAGCGUGGGGAGCAAACAGGAUUAGAUACCCUAGUAGUCC
rnacentral:rRNA from 1 species